CAAAGGGGAAACGGUGUUAGAAGAGCAGUUAAGAGGCGCUCAACCGGGAAAAUGCAUCCUUUCCCUCUGAGAUCAUUUCCACUCCUGAACUCUGCAGAUGGUUCCUAAAUGUUCUCUCAGUUUUAGAGAGGGCUUGGCACUACCAGACCCAUUUCAAUCAAAAAGGCAGCAUUGUGAGGGAGAACGCCGCGGGAUUUGGAAUGAAGAGGUCUUUUGCCUGCUUUGUUAUUCUGCCAGGUAUGGAGAUUCAAGGAAAUAAGUGGAGUGAACUUUUUCUGAUGAAGACUGGAUGGUAAGUGACAUUCCUUGUUGUACACAGACUACACGUGAGUAGCAACCCGUCUGUCCCCAUGUCAAAUUGCUUCUUUCCAUCAGACACAUUCAUUUUCCCCUGGACCCUCUGCUUUGGCUAAGGAUCUCUUUCUUCCAGAACAAACUCUGGUAGCAUCCUUGGUCACACCUCCCAGCCUUUCUAACAGUUGCAACUUCACAUUUGCUUGUGAGAUCAUUUCUGAUUCGUAGGAUUAUGAAUCUCAUGUCAUGGAAUUUCCUGUGCAGGAAAUGUAACUAUGUUUCCCCUUAUGAAAAAUCAGGUUUUUAAAGUUCAUUUAUUUAUAUCUGUUUUUGGCUGUGCUGGGUCUUCGCUGCUACCCAGGCUUUUCUCUAGUUGCGGUGAGUGGAGAGGGCGAGCACUGCUCCUCACUGCAGUGGCUUCUCUUGUCUCGGGGCACAGACUCUGGGGCACUGAGGCUCAGCUGGGCAUGUGGGC
ensembl:lncRNA